AGGCAUGAAGAUAGGGAGACAUACCACACUUUCUCCAGCCAAUGCCUCAUACUAUCCAAAUAGCCAGAAGCAAUAUGCCACAGGAACUUGGGAAUGCAGCCUCCAUGUAUUUUUGUAUACAUAUAAUAAUAACAUCUGGAACAUCCAUCUGUUCCUGACAAUGGAGCUCCUGGCUCUAAGGCCUCCAGACUCCAGGACUUCACUACCGGCUCCCCUGAUUCUCGGGCCUUCAGAUUCAGACUGAAUUAUACCACCAACUUUCCAGGAUUUUCAGCUCAUAGAUGGCAGACUGUGGAACUUCUUGUCCUCUGUAACCACGUCCCUGAAGUCUGGCCCCACCCUCAGCCUGAGUCAGAUACAGCCGCUCCUGAAAACAGGCUGGCAUCAAGGUUCUGAACUCUGCUUUUUCCCACCAUUUCUACGCAACACCUUAGUUCAAGUUUCCAACAUCUUUAAGCUGGUCUUCCUGCAAAGUUGUCCUGACAGGUCUACUGGUUUUACUUGGCAGCCAGCCUCUUUUCAGACUCUUCACACACUAGCCAAAGGAUGCUUUUAAAACGUGAGUUAAAUAAUGUUACUCCACCUCUACUCCCACAACUAUUCACACAUUCCAGUGCUUCCUCAUUGCAUUUAGAAUAACAUUGAAAGUCUUUAAUAAGAUCUGGCUCCUCUUCCACUUGUUCAUCACAAAGCAUCUACCUCCAUCUUCUUGAUGUU
rnacentral:lncRNA from 1 species